rnacentral:ncRNA from 1 species
CAGUUAUCAAGAAAGGUGGAGGGACUAGACCCAAUGAAGCCUUGGCAACCCUUUUAAAAGUGAAUUCGCUUAAAAAGAAGGUGCUAAGUUCUAUUCAGAAUCUAAUAUUUUGAAAUAGAUAACAA